AAUACUUAUUUUUAUUUUGCCGUCGCGCGAGUUUGUGGAACCUAAGAAAGCCAUUAGAUUUUUUCCGGAUGAAAGGCUAACCGGAUUCCAAUGGUGGAAAGAAAGCUGAUACCGGAUAAUCGGAUACUAGAGCAGAAUCGAUACCGGCAAAGGAAUAAUUUACCUCCAGGCGGUUUACCAAAAGAGGAAAACAUCCGCCUUCAGAACUAACCGGAUAUUGAGAAUAUAAAAUCAACAUCAGGUCCACAAAUGGCGGCGAAACAGCCUAUUUGGAACCGGAUGGUUUACCUUCAGACUAUACAGACAUCAGCUAAAUAUACAAGGUUAGAGGAUACAAAAAGUAAUAGCGGAAUGCAAAUAAAAUAAUUGUCAUAAAUAAAUACGAAUUAAA